UGGCCCCCACGUGAUCCAUUGUGUCCAGCUACUGGCGACAGGGAGUGUGAGAUACACCUUACACGUGGCCUGUUGAAGAGACUCAGGAAAAAUACUGUUAUU